UACGGAGGGGGCUAGCGUUGUUCGGAAUUACUGGGCGUAAAGCGCACGUAGGCGGCUUUGUAAGUUAGAGGUGAAAGCCCGGGGCUCAACUCCGGAAUUGCCUUUAAGACUGCAUCGCUAGAAUUGUGGAGAGGUAAGUGGAAUUCCGAGUGUAGAGGUGAAAUUCGUAGAUAUUCGGAAGAACACCAGUGGCGAAGGCGACUUACUGGACACAUAUUGACGCUGAGGUGCGAAAGCGUGGGGAGCAAACAGGAUUAGAAUCACCCGUGAGUCC
rnacentral:rRNA from 1 species